rfam:Schistosoma margrebowiei strain Zambia genome assembly, scaffold: SMRZ_scaffold0001500
GCACUGCUGAGGAGUCCCAUACCAGGACGAAAGGGCCGUUCAGUGC